UACGUAGGUGGCAAGCGUUGUCCGGAUUUAUUGGGCGUAAAGCGAGCGCAGGCGGUUUCUUAAGUCUGAUGUGAAAGCCCCCGGCUCAACCGGGGAGAGUCAUUGGAAACUGGGUAUCUAGAGUGCAGGAGAGGAAAGCGGAAUUCCUAGUGUAGCGGUGAAAUGCGUAGAGAUUAGGAAGAACAUCAGUGGCGAAGGCGGCUUUCUGGACUGUAACUGACGCUGAGGCAUGAAAGCGUGGGGAGCAAACAGGAUUAGAUACCCUGGUAGUCCACGCCGUAAACGAUGAGUGCUAAGUGUUGGAGGGUUUCCGCCCUUCAGUGCUGCAGCAAACGCAUUAAGCACUCCGCCUGGGGAGUACGACCGCAAGGUUGAA
rnacentral:rRNA from 1 species